GGGGCAGUAGCUCAGUGUUAGAGCUCCCGUUUCGUAGGCGGGAAGACGUGGGAUCGAUUCGCUUCUUCCU
rnacentral:tRNA from 1 species